GACGAACGCUGGCGGCGUGCUUAACACAUGCAAGUCGAACGGAAAGGCCCUGCUUUUGUGGGGUGCUCGAGUCGCGAACGGGUGUGUAACACGUGAGUUAUCUGCCCUUGACUUUGGGAUAACUUCAGGACACUGGGGCUUAUACCGGAUAGGCGCUCCUGCUGCAUGGUGUGGGUUGGAAAGUUUCGGGGGUUGGGGACGGACUCGCGGCUUACCAGUUGGUUGGUGGGGUAGUGGCUUACCAAGGCUUUGACGGGUAGCCGGCCUGAGUGGGUGACCGGCCACAUUGGGACUGAGAUACGGCCCAGACUCCUACGGGGGGCAGCAGUGGGGAAUAUUGCACAAUGGGCGGAGGCCUGAUGCAGCAACGCCGCGUGCGGGAUAACGGCCUUCGGGUUGUAAACCGCUUUCGCCGGUGACGAAGCGUGAGUGACGGUAAUGGGUAAAGAAGCACCGGCUAACUACGUG
rnacentral:rRNA from 1 species